rnacentral:rRNA from 1 species
GCCUACGGGGCGCAGCAGUGGGGAAUAUUGGGCAAUGGGCGAAAGCCUGAUGGAGCAACGCCGCGUGGGUGAAGAAGGUCUUCGGAUCGUAAAACCCUGUUGUUAGAGAAGAAAGUGCGUGAGAGUAACUGUUCACGUUUCGACGGUAUCUAACCAGAAAGCCACGGCUAACUACGUGCCAGCAGCCGCGGUAAUACGUAGGUGGCAAGCGUUAUCCGGAUUUAUUGGGCGUAAAGGGAACGCAGGCGGUCUUUUAAGUCUGAUGUGAAAGCCUUCGGCUUAACCGGAGUAGUGCAUUGGAAACU